CCCUUAGAUGUUCUGGGCGGCCCGCGCACUACAAUGGCGCGUUCAUCGAGAACCAAGGUUGAAUUAUUCGAGGUAUUCUUGCAAAACGCGUCUUGAUUGGGAUAGAUCCUUGUAAUUGUUGGUCUUGAACGAGGAAUUCCUUGUAAGCAUGGUUUAUCAUCCCACGUUGAAUGCGUCCCUGCCCUUUGUACACACCGCCCGUCGCUCCUACCGAUGAAUUGUCCGGUGAAGUUCAUGGAGAGCUGUUUCACUGAGAUGUGCUUAAAGCGAGAUGAACCUAGCGGUUUAGAGGAAGGAGAAGUCGUAACA
rnacentral:rRNA from 1 species